AGAGUUUGAUCCUGGCUCAGGACGAACGCUGGCGGCACGCUUAACACAUGCAAGUCGAACGAGAGAAGAGGAGCUUGCUUUUCUGAUCUAGUGGCGGACGGGUGAGUAACACGUGAGCAAUCUGCCUUUCAGAGGGGGAUACCGAUUGGAAACGAUCGUUAAUACCGCAUAACAUAAUUGAACCGCAUGAUUUGAUUAUCAAAGAUUUAUCGCUGAAAGAUGAGCUCGCGUCUGAUUAGCUAGUUGGUAAGGUAACGGCUUACCAAGGCGACGAUCAGUAGCCGGACUGAGAGGUUGAUCGGCCACAUUGGGACUGAGACACGGCCCAGACUCCUACGGGAGGCAGCAGUGGGGAAUAUUGCACAAUGGAGGAAACUCUGAUGCAGCGAUGCCGCGUGAGGGAAGAAGGUUUUAGGAUUGUAAACCUCUGUCUUCAGGGACGAAAAAAGACGGUACCUGAGGAGGAAGCUCCGGCUAACUACGUGCCAGCAGCCGCGGUAAUACGUAGGGAGCGAGCGUUGUCCGGAAUUACUGGGUGUAAAGGGAGCGUAGGCGGGAUCGCAAGUCAGAUGUGAAAACUACGGGCUUAACCCAUAAACUGCAUUUGAAACUGUGGUUCUUGAGUGAAGUAGAGGUAAGCGGAAUUCCUAGUGUAGCGGUGAAAUGCGUAGAUAUUAGGAGGAACAUCAGUGGCGAAGGCGGCUUACUGGGCUUUAACUGACGCUGAGGCUCGAAAGCGUGGGGAGCAAACAGGAUUAGAUACCCUGGUAGUCCACGCCGUAAACGAUGAUUACUAGGUGUGGGGGGACUGACCCCUUCCGUGCCGCAGCAAACGCAAUAAGUAAUCCACCUGGGGAGUACGACCGCAAGGUUGAAACUCAAAGGAAUUGACGGGGGCCCGCACAAGCAGUGGAGUAUGUGGAUUAAUUCGAAGCAACGCGAAGAACCUUACCAGGUCUUGACAUCGUAUGCAUAGCUCAGAGAUGAGUGAAAUCUCUUCGGAGACAUAUAGACAGGUGGUGCAUGGUUGUCGUCAGCUCGUGUCGUGAGAUGUUGGGUUAAGUCCCGCAACGAGCGCAACCCUUACUGUUAGUUGCUACGCAAGAGCACUCUAGCAGGACUGCCGUUGACAAAACGGAGGAAGGUGGGGAUGACGUCAAAUCAUCAUGCCCCUUAUGACCUGGGCCUCACACGUACUACAAUGGCUGUCAACAGAGGGAAGCAAUGCCGCGUGGUGGAGCGAACCCCUAAAAGCAGUCUUAGUUCGGAUUGUAGGCUGCAACCCGCCUACAUGAAGUCGGAAUUGCUAGUAAUCGCAGAUCAGCAUGCUGCGGUGAAUACGUUCCCGGGCCUUGUACACACCGCCCGUCACGCCAUGGGAGUCGGUAACACCCGAAGCCUGUAGUCUAACCGCAAGGAGGACGCAGUCGAAGGUGGGAUUGAUGACUGGGGUGAAGUCGUAACAAGGUA
rnacentral:rRNA from 1 species